rnacentral:ncRNA from 1 species
UUUUAUGAGAGUUCGAUCCUGGCUCAGGAUGAACGCUGGCGGCGUGCCUAACACAUGCAAGUCGAACGAGAUGCUUAUC